UACGAAGGGGGCUAGCGUUGUUCGGAAUCACUGGGCGUAAAGGGCGCGUAGGCGGCUGUUCAAGUCGGGGGUGAAAUCCCGUGGCUCAACCACGGAAUGGCCUUCGAUACUGGACGGCUCGAGACCGGAAGAGGUGAGUGGAACUGCGAGUGUAGAGGUGAAAUUCGUAGAUAUUCGGAAGAACACCAGUGGCGAAGGCGGCUCACUGGCCCGGUACUGACGCUGAUGUGCGAAAGCGUGGGGAGCAAACAGG
rnacentral:rRNA from 1 species